GACGAACGCUGGCGGCAUGCUUAACACAUGCCAGUCGAACGGAAAGGCCCUGCUUUUGUGGGGUGCUCGAGUGGCGAACGGGUGAGUAACACGUGAGUAACCUGCCCUUGACUUUGGGAUAACUUCAGGAAACUGGGGCUAAUACCGGAUAGGAGCUCCUGCUGCAUGGUGGGGGUUGGAAAGUUUCGGCGGUUGGGGAUGGACUCGCGGCCUAUCAGCUUGUUGGUGGGGUAGUGGCUUACCAAGGCUUUGACGGGUAGCCGGCCUGAGAGGGUGACCGGCCACAUUGGGACUGAGAUACGGCCCAGACUCCUACGGGAGGCAGCAGUGGGGAAUAUUGCACAAUGGGCGGAAGCCUGAUGCAGCAACGCCGCGUGCGGGAUGACGGCCUUCGGGUUGUAAACCGCUUUCGCCUGUGACGAAGCGUGAGUGACGGUAAUGGGUAAAGAAGCACCGGCUAACUACGUG
rnacentral:rRNA from 1 species